rnacentral:rRNA from 1 species
AAAUUGAAGAGUUUGAUCAUGGCUCAGAUUGAACGCUGGCGGCAGGCCUAACACAUGCAAGUCGAACGGUAACAGGAAGCAGCUUGCUGCUUCGCUGACGAGUGGCGGACGGGUGAGUAAUGUCUGGGAAACUGCCUGAUGGAGGGGGAUAACUACUGGAAACGGUGGCUAAUACCGCAUAACGUCGCAAGACCAAAGAGGGGGACCUUCGGGCCUCUUGCCAUCAGAUGUGCCCAGAUGGGAUUAGCUUGUUGGUGAGGUAACGGCUCACCAAGGCGACGAUCCCUAGCUGGUCUGAGAGGAUGACCAGCCACACUGGAACUGAGACACGGUCCAGACUCCUACGGGAGGCAGCAGUGGGGAAUAUUGCACAAUGGGCGCAAGCCUGAUGCAGCCAUGCCGCGUGUAUGAAGAAGGCCUUCGGGUU